CUGCCCCCAUUCGAGAAUGGUGCCGCCACCUCGCCCCCGUCCGCGAUUGGCGCUGGCACCCCGCACCCCGUCCUCGGCGCCGCCGCCACCACCCCCACCCAUCACAGCGCCGGCAAACUGCUCCCUCUCUCAUGUGUUCGCUCCCUCCAUGUGUAUCACCCCUUUUCUCCAAGCACGAGUGUGUCUCCUUCUCUGCUCGUCCGCUCUCUCCCUCCUCCUGCGGCCCCGCAUGCCGCCUCACACCACGCCCCCUGGUUCAUCACGUGCCUCCAAUACUCUACUCGCCACCGCAAUCUCGCUGUCCAAACACAUUUCCUGAUUUCCUGGUUCAUCCUCCUCCCAUUCAGCUUCCUCCAGAUCUCGCCUUCGCUCAUUACGAAGGCCCCCAACAUGUUCGAUGUGGCAGCGAGGGGGCGGUGGAUGCAGUGGGAGGUGGUGGUGGUGUCCAACGACCGUGGCAGUAGGCGAGGCGAAGCAGCUAUCAGUGGUAAGGCGGGAGUGGAGCCCACGUCACAUGUCGUACCACCUGCAAGGGGGUUCUUACGCGAGCUCGCAGUCAUCGCCGCGACGGUCGCCUUCAUCAUCACAUUCGCCCAGGCGGCUACUGAGGCGGACGCUGGUGUUUCGAGGUUGUGGCGGUCUAGGUGGGAUAUCGUGGAAUGGUUGUCCUCCCUUGUUUCUGGUGCUUGCAGCUUCUAG
rnacentral:misc_RNA from 1 species